UUGAUCCUCCUCUAACUCGCGCAACGGGACCCAUGGCUUGGGUAGUGGUUUGUUAACGAGUUCUACAAAGCCCAAUUCAGCCUCCUUUAUUAAGGGUACGAGAGAGGAGUCCUCAUCCAGCAUACGUUUCUGUUGAAAAAUAUUUGAUUAGUGUCUUAUUUGUUUCAGAUCUCUACAUCAGAUUAUCAUCGAAUUCUCUGCAUAAAACACGUGCGAGCGAGAGCGUGCCACAAGGCGAAAAAAAUUCGAAUUUCUCCCCCAACAACAACACGUGCUCCCAGAUCGUUAUCAGAUUGUAAGUAUGCCACACACAAUCAUUUUUCGAAUAGCAUCCAUGUGUUAGAAGA